rnacentral:lncRNA from 9 species
AUGUGGGUGCAGAAGAGGAGGAGCCAGAGACAUCUCUUCCUUUCCCCCAGCUUGUGCAAAGAUGCUUCUGAACACCCUUGGACUAGGUGGAUCUUAAAUUACAAGGAACAAACAGCCAGAGUCUGGACUCUACAUCCUCAUCCCCGUCACCUGGGACCCAACAUCUUCAUCACCUGGGACCCAGUGGCCAGACCUAGCAGCCUGCUGUUUGCAACUCAGGUUAGCCCCUGCAAAGGUUCCUCCCUAGACGGUGGUGGAUGAGCGUGAGGGAAGCAGAACUCACCAAGAAACUUUCAAACACGACAUCCUCACGGCAAGAAGGAAGACUUAUCCAGUGACAUGGAAGAGCCUGAGCGUCAUCAAUGAACUAAUGAACUGUGAGUCUCCGCCAGCCAGGAGAUCCCAAGUCCCUUAGGGAGGAGACUCCUUGGUGAGGUAGGAUGACCUCGUCCUUUUCUCACAGUGAGUAGGUCAGUAAGUAUUACCAUCUAACUUAAGGCCUUCUUGCUUCAAUAAGUCUAGGUCCCCUUGUUCUGUCUUCAAGUGAAAAAAAAUACCAUCCCUCUCUUGGUCUAUUUCUCUGACAUCCAUUGAAGGUAAAACAGACAAGAAAUCCGCCUACAGGAAGUUUGCAAUUAAGUUCCAAGUGAUUUUAAUUUUUUUAGUUCCCAGCCUUGGGGUCCAGUCGGAACAACAGCUGCUGGCCUAUACCACAGCCACAGCAAUGCCAGAUCCCUAACCCAUUGAUCGGGGCCAGGGAUCGAACCUGCAUCCUCAUGGGUACUAGUUAAGUUCACUACUGCUGAACCACAACAGGAACUCCUGCAACGUGAUUCUUAAUGCAUCCAUCCCUCCUGCAGCUUAAGCCCCUCCAUCACCCAGGGACUUCCAAUACACCUGUCCUAAAGUGGUAUGUGACCAGGGUGCAAAGCAGAAGGGCCCUUCUUUUGCUCUUCCAAUAUUAUCUCAUUGUACCUGUACCCACAAGUUCUUGUCUCCUAGAAUAAAAGAGUUCUUUUGUCCCCUCCAGCCAAGAAAAUGUUGUUCUUGCAGGAAGAGAGCACUGGUUUUAUUAACAUCGAAAGAUAUUCUCAUUUUAGAGAAAAAGGCCAGGGCCCGGAGUCAUUUAGCAAUUGGCCUAAAGUCACACAGUGCAUCCCCAUCAAGAGUCAGGAUUUGAGACCUCGAAUGUCUGAUUCCAAACCUCUCUCCCUUUCUGCCUUGCUGCCUCUUGGAUGAAUGAACGCCAAGGAAUACUGAUUAGUGUCCAAUCCCCAAAUAAAUAUUUGGUGUCAAUUUGAAAUGUAGGGAAAACUGGUUUUAAAUGAGUACUAUGCAGAGGCCAGUUCCAAAGGACUGGCCAAACAGAAGGGAUAUCAAUAAAUAUUUGUCAAAUCAUUGAAUGAGGAGUUCCUGCUGUGGCUCAGCGGUAACUAACCCUGCCAGUAUCCAUGAGGAUGCAGAUUCAAUCCCAGGCCCCACUCAGUGGGUUAAAGAUAUCGCAUUGCUGUGAGCUGUGGUGUAGGUUGCAGAUAUGGCUCAGAUCCUGCCUUGCUGUGGCUGUGGUGUAGACUGGAGGCUACAGCUCCCAUUCAACCCCUAGCCUGGGAAACUCCAUAUGCCACAGAUGCAGCCCUAAAAAGCAAAAAAAAAAAAAAAAAAAAAAAAAAAAAAAUCACUAAAUGAAUAUCAAUGAAACGAGUGGUGGCAGGUGGAUCUUUUGAAAAAGGAAUGGCAUUUUCCAUCCCUGAGAAAGGAGAUUCUUAGUACUAUAAACAGAAUUUGUAUGAGAAUUUUUUUUUUUUAGGGCUGCAUCUGUGGAACAUGGAGGUUCCCAGGCUA